UACGUAGGGUGCAAGCGUUGUCCGGAAUUAUUGGGCGUAAAGGGCUCGUAGGCGGUCCGUCACGUCGGGAGUGAAAACUUGGGGCUUAACCCCAAGCCUGCUUCCGAUACGGGCGGACUAGAGGUAGGCAGGGGAGAACGGAAUUCCUGGUGUAGCGGUGAAAUGCGCAGAUAUCAGGAGGAACACCGGUGGCGAAGGCGGUUCUCUGGGCCAUAACUGACGCUGAGAAGCGAAAGCAUGGGGAGCGAACAGG
rnacentral:rRNA from 1 species